CACAGAACUGAGAUUUAAUCCCCAGCUCUGUUGGACCUGCAGCACACCUCACGUGGCAAACUGUGCUUUCAUCCCAAGUAUAUAGGAAACCACGUGUGAAGACAAGGACCAAAAUACAAUGGGAUAAUAACCAGCAUCACGGAGUUGCAGUGACUGAGAGUGUCCCUCGUGCUGUCAGGAAUCACAAAUGGCACAGGCAUUUAGCUUUGGAUUGGAGAAAAUGACCUGAGCUCGAGGUCACAAUGUGCCGAUGGCUGGUGUGUCAGAGGAGUGACGUUGCAGGAAGCACACUGCCUGUGCCAGGCAGCCCACCCACUUAAUGCCAUGGACUAAAUGCACACACCCUAUCGAAGAAUACAACAGCACUCACUAUGCUAUUCAUGACAGGAUAUGGACAAUGCACACCUGUGCAUUCUUUCUCGUUAUCAGGCACACUGGACCUGGUAUUCCUGUGGGUAUAAUUCAGAGUAAAACACUUUCUCAUCUAAGGAAGAUUUGAGGCAAGUGAUCCUCAUUUUCUUGCUUUGCCCCUCUGGUUGCAUCAGUCUGGGAGGUCAAAGCCUGCUUGGAAACUCCUCAUGAUGAAGAAGGAUUUAGUUCUCCUCCUGGCUGAGACUCCUGCAGUUCACUGGACAGGGUAGGUACAAAUCCUCAUUCUCUGGGUGCCCAGUUUGGAAGGGGCUGGAACUUCUGUGGUGAUUUAGGGCAUUGCUUGUGCAGUGCUGGGUGUGGGAGCCCUUGAGGGCUGUGCUAGGGCUGUAGGAAGAGCUGCUGUAGGAGUAGCUGCCAGUUGGGCCCUAACUGGUGCCUCAGCUCUGCACUUGCUUACUAUGGCAUGAAUUAUUUUCGUAGUCACCAUCACAGCUGCUUGUUUUUAACCACCACUGUGUCUGACCUCAUUCACAUCUCUGUCUGAUGGACAGUGGCAACCUGCUGUUGAAUAUUACCCCAUUCCCUCUGAUUUGUUUUCUUUUGGUCGUGCUUUGCUGUAUUUCCUCCUGAUUCCACAGUUUUGCUUCUCAGCUUGCCUAAUAAACUGGUAUGGUCAACUUGCCCA
rnacentral:lncRNA from 14 species